GACGAACGCUGGCGGCGUGCCUAAUACAUGCAAGUCGAGCGGAUGACGGAGGAGCUUGCUCCUCCUGAUUCAGCGGCGGACGGGUGAGUAACACGUGGGCAACCUGCCCUGUAGAUUGGGAUAACUCCGGGAAACCGGGGCUAAUACCGAAUAAUCCUUCGGACCUCAUGGUCCGAUGUUGAAAGACGGUUUCGGCUGUCACUACAGGAUGGGCCCGCGGCGCAUUAGCUAGUUGGUGAGGUAACGGCUCACCAAGGCCACGAUGCGUAGCCGACCUGAGAGGGUGAUCGGCCACACUGGGACUGAGACACGGCCCAGACUCCUACGGGAGGCAGCAGUAGGGAAUCUUCCACAAUGGACGAAAGUCUGAUGGAGCAACGCCGCGUGAGUGAAGAAGGUUCUCGGAUCGUAAAACUCUGUUGUGAGGGAAGAACAAGUACCGGAGUAACUGCCGGUGCCUUGACGGUACCUCAUUAGAAAGCCACGGCUAACUACGUGCCAGCCGCCGCCGUAACAC
rnacentral:rRNA from 1 species